rnacentral:rRNA from 1 species
GACGAACGCUGGCGGCGUGCUUAACACAUGCAAGUCGAACGGAAAGGCCCUGCUUUUGUGGGGUGCUCGAGUGGCGAACGGGUGAGUAACACGUGAGUAAGCUGCCCUUGACUUUGGGAUAACUUCAGGAAACUGGGGCUAAUACCGGAUAGGAGCUCCUGCUGCAUGGUGGGGGUUGGAAAGUUUCGGCGGUUGGGGAUGGACUCGCGGCUUAUCAGCUUGUUGGUGGGGUAGUGGCUUACCAAGGCUUUGACGGGUAGCCGGCCUGGGAGGGUGACCGGCCACAUUGGGACUGAGGUACGGCCCAGACUCCUACGGGAGGCAGUAGUGGGGAAUAUUGCACAAUGGGCGGAAGCCUGAGGCAGCAACGCCGCGUGCGGGAUGACGGCCUUCGGGUUGUAAACCGCUUUCGCCGGUGACGAAGCGUGAGUGACGGUAAUGGGUAAAGAAGCACCGGCUAACUACGUG